rnacentral:misc_RNA from 1 species
CACAAUGGCACGCAACUUCACUCUUGCUUUCGGAGUCAAAAUUUUUCAUACAGCUCGAUCAAUGCCUGUUUCGGCUAUAAAAAGAUUUAAACGUCGUUACAAGAGCAAGUUUACAACAGAAAUGCUUUGCUUUUGCAUGCUGUAAGUUAUGAAUUUGUAAUCUACAUCAGAACAAGGCACGCAGACUAAGUAGCCAUCUCUGAAAGAUAUAAUGUAAAGAGAGACACGGCAUCCUGCAGAUGAUUCGAGCGGAGGUCUUCUGGAACUGGUGCAUUAAACACGGUGUCGAAGCAACUUAACUGAGCAUCACGCGUGGAGCCCUCGCUAAGAUCAGAUAGAAGCAAUUCACUGAUCUCCUCUGCCAUCUUUGAGUAUGCUACCCUU